rnacentral:rRNA from 1 species
GUAGGUGGCAAGCGUUGUCCGGAAUUAUUGGGCGUAAAGCGCGCGCAGGUGGUUCUUUAAGUCUGAUGUGAAAGCCCCCGGCUCAACCGGGGAGGGUCAUUGGAAACUGGGGAACUUGAGUGCAGGAGAGGAAAGUGGAAUUCCACGUGUAGCGGUGAAAUGCGUAGAUAUGUGGAGGAACACCAGUGGCGAAGGCGACUUUCUGGCCUGUAACUGACACUGAGGCGCGAAAGCGUGGGGAGCAAACAGGGAUUAGAUACCCUGGUAGUCCACGCCGUAAACGAUGAGUGCUAAGUGUUGGGGGGUUUCCCGCCCCUCAGUGCUGCAGCUAACGCAUUAAGCACUCCGCCUGGGGAGUACGGUCGCAGACUG